UACGUAGGGGGCAAGCGUUGUCCGGAGUUACUGGGCGUAAAGCGCACGCAGGCGGUCUCUUAAGUUUGGAGUGACAGUUGGUGGCUUAACUGCCAAAGUGCUUCGAAAACUGAGAGACUUGAGGGCUUCAGAGGGACACGGAAUUCCGGGUGGAGUGGUGAAAUGCGUAGAGAUCCGGAGGAACACCAAAGGCGAAGGCAGUGUCCUGGGGAGUACCUGACGCUGAGGAGCGAAAGCAUGGGGAGCGAACAGG
rnacentral:rRNA from 1 species